rnacentral:rRNA from 1 species
ACGUCUCGUGAAUGUCAUAACGACUCUCGGCAACGGAUAUCUCGGCUCUCGCAUCGAUGAAGAACGUAGGGAAAUGCGAUACUUGGUGUGAAUUGCAGAAUCCCGUGAACCCUCGAGUCUUUGAACGCAAGUUGCGCCCGAAGCCCUUAGGCCGAGGGCACGUCUGCCUGGGGGUCACGCAUCGGGUCGCCCCCCUCUCC